AGUGAACGCUGGCGGUAGGCCUAACACAUGCAAGUCGAACGGCGGCACAGUAAGAGCUUGCUCUUACGGGUGGCGAGUGGCGGACGGUGAGGAAUACAUCGGAAUCUACUUUUUCGUGGGGGAUAACGUAGGGAAACUUACGCUAAUACCGCAUACGACCUACGGGUGAAAGCAGGGGAUCUUCGGACCUUGCGCGAUUGAAUGAGCCGAUGUCGGAUUAGCUAGUUGGCGGGGUAAAGGCCCACCAAGGCGACGAUCCGUAGCUGGUCUGAGAGGAUGAUCAGCCACACUGGAACUGAGACACGGUCCAGACUCCUACGGGAGGCAGCAGUGGGGAAUAUUGGACAAUGGGCGCAAGCCUGAUCCAGCCAUACCGCGUGGGUGAAGAAGGCCUUCGGGUUGUAAAGCCCUUUUGUUGGGAAAGAAAAGCAGCAGGUUAAUACCCCGCUGUUCUGACGGUACCCAAAGAAUAAGCACCGGCUAACUUCGUG
rnacentral:rRNA from 1 species